rnacentral:rRNA from 1 species
UUGACCUCGGAUCAGGUAGGACUACCCGCUGAACUUAAGCAUAUCAAUAAGCGGAGGAAAAGAAACCAACAGGGAUUGCCCCAGUAACGGCGAGUGAAGCGGCAACAGCUCAGAUUUGGAAUCUGGCCUUCGGGCCCGAGUUGUAAUCUGGAAAGGAUGUUUCUGGCGCGGUGCCUUCCGAGUUCCCUGGAACGGGACCCCGAGAAGGGUGAGAGCCCCGUACGGUUGGACACCUAGCCUUUGUGAAACUCCUUCGACGAGUCGAGUAGUUUGGGAAUGCUGCUCAAAAUGGGAGGUAAAUUUCUUCUAAAGCUAAAUAUUGGCCAGAGACCGAUAGCGCACAAGUAGAGUGAUCGAAAGAUGAAAAGCACUUUGAAAAGAGGGUUAAAAAGUACGUGAAAUUGUUGAAAGGGAAG